rnacentral:rRNA from 1 species
UAGCUUGACUGCGAGCGUGACGGCGCGAGCAGGUGCGAAAGCAGGUCAUAGUGAUCCGGUGGUUCUGAAUGGAAGGGCCAUCGCUCAACGGAUAAAAGGUACUCCGGGGAUAACAGGCUGAUACCGCCCAAGAGUUCAUAUCGACGGCGGUGUUUGGCACCUCGAUGUCGGCUCAUCACAUCCUGGGGCUGAAGUAGGUCCCAAGGGUAUGGCUGUUCGCCAUUUAAAGUGGUACGCGAGCUGGGUUUAGAACGUCGUGAGACAGUUCGGUCCCUAUCUGCCGUGGGCGCUGGAGAAUUGAGGGGGGCUGCUCCUAGUACGAGAGGACCGGAGUGGACGCAUCACUGGUGUUCGGGUUGUCAUGCCAAUGGCACUGCCCGGUAGCUAAAUGCGGAAGAGAUAAGUGCUGAAAGCAUCUAAGCACGAAACUUGCCCCG